AGAUAAAAGAAUUCAUUAAAUCAUUAAUAUAUCAUUCUCUGCCGCGUAGACAAGCUUGCCAAAAAAACAAAACCAAGAACAGCUGUAACCAGAGACUUGAAAAGUUGCAAACCCCAAAGACGAAAAAAAAAAAAGAAAAAGAGAUCAACCUUAUAAACUUGUAUGUAAAAAGCUGCAACUUCCUAAAAAAAAAUCUACCCAAAGCUCCAAAUAUUAAGUUAUUGCUGCAGAUUCAGAAGUUGCUGGAGGACGCAUGGAAAAAGUCUUGGCUUUAGGGUAAAAGUAAAGGCAGUCCAAGUUCAACAAACUUGAGAAACUGAAUUCAACUUGAAGGGGUCUCAUAUCUGUCAGGAUGUACAUAACACAACAAAGAGUUCCCAUGUGGCUGAUGGCGUAGAAUGGCAACCAGUAUUUCAAGCCAACUUGGGGAUUAAGAAUUGAAUAAUAUUUAUUGGGAUGGAGCUCCUCAGCAUUUACAUCAUAAAGUUUCUGGUUAGCCCGCCAUAUUCAGUUGAGGCAACUUUAUUAAAAGGUCCUGCAAAAAGGCUCCUCGUGACUCGUGAGAGCAAAUGGAUGAUGUACGGAACCUGAAUUUGGACUAAGCUUGCUAUGGAUGUUCUGUGGCUGAGAACCGAACAAGUCAACUGAGAAAAUUCUUAUCCAUACCAACAUUUGAAUUCAUUUUUCUUAGCAACCAUUGGUUGAAUUGUCAACAACUUUUGGUCUUCACAAGCAUAGGCUUUGGAAUUUGACUUUGGCUAGAGACACCAUGGUGGAGCAGGAGCAUUGAACAAGAAAAUAUACUUACAUCUCUCCCCCAGGUUCUUUAGUCUUCAGUUAGUUAAGAAUGGCCAUCACCUAGUUGCCAUGACUUGUGACAUUUUCUCUAAUGGUUACAUAAUGGGGCUAAGUUUUUUAUUUCUUCUUUCCUUUAAACAUUGAGAUUUGAUUUUUAUGAAACAAUAUUUUCUCUUAUGGUCAA